rnacentral:tRNA from 1 species
GUCCCUGUAGCGCAAUGUAUAGCACGUUGGACUUCUUAUCCAAAGGUCGUGGGUUCGAAUUCCACCUGGGAUG